CACUGGACACUUCUUGUAUUUGACACUGAACUUGAUGAAUGGAGACAUUACAAUUCUUUAAGGCCAAGAGACAACAGAGAAGAUCCUUACCUUAAGGAUGCAAAAAAGAUUAUAACAUAUGUGGAUAGCAAGUUGGCCAACAAAACGAAGAGAGGUAGAAGAAAGUUUGCAAACUUGGUUUCGGUAAAAGAUAGUCCACAACAACGCCCAACAUCUGUUGAUUGUGGAAUUAUUGUAUGUUAUAUCAUGCGCCA